UCUACAUGAACAGCUCUGGGGGGUGCUUGGUUGGCUGAGGUGUCAAUGCACAGAACAGACCAGUGGAAGAAGAGAAGCAGAUACACAGAGGAGUGGGUGACUAUGAAAGGGUGAAUUCGCUUCGGCCUCAGAGUCAUUGACUUCAAGAUCUUGCCCAGAGAAGCUGUGGAUGCCCCAUUCCUGGAAGUGUUCAAAUCCAGGCUGGAUGGAGCUUUAAGCAACCUGGUCUGGAGAUAGCUUGUCCGGUGGGUCUGUACCUCCUGAGAUGCCUCCUGCACAGCCAUGAGACACCAUCUUCUGUGGAUCUCCAGAGGAGAGCUGGUGCUUCUGGGUUAAAUUCAGGGCCUGCACUUCUAGCAGCAGAAAAGUGUCAGCAGGAGCUGAUCCCAGCAGUUCAACGUAAUCACUGAAAGCAGAGAAAAUCCAGGAGAUUUCACUGGAACUGAGCAAGAGCUUGACAGCUGGCAAAUGCUAAUCAAUAAGUGGUGCUGGCAGCAGGGAAUAGAGGUGUGUGCAACCCUUGUCUCUUCACCACGUGAAAGCCAUGUUGGGUAUACGUUCAUCAGCCAGUGUGGUGGCUUCUGGGGCCAGCACUGCAUCUGGAGAUCCUGAGUCUGGCAGACCCCUGAGGAAGCAAGUUAUCACAUGGUGAAGGACCAGCUGCUUUGGUAAAUUAAAAGAUCACCAUAGACCAAGUUAUUGUUGGCCAGCGGCUGUUUGAAAGCUACCAGACCUUUCCUACUUGUUGUACAUGUCUCUUUGAGACAGGAAAAUGUCUCUGCUGGGGAGUUGUGACCUGCUGGUGCUGUCACCCAGGGCAAUGGAAAACCUGUCUCCCUUGCGGCAAGAGCUGCAGAUGCCAUCCGGCUCCUUCCCUUGCUUUCAUUUUUGGAUACCAGCCAUGGGUUGCUUAUCAUCGGUCCUGAUCCCUAAAGCUGAGGUGCUGAUUCUAAUCUGCAGCUGCAGCUGGGUUUAAAUCUUGAUCUGCAAUCGGUGAGUCUGAGCGCUGAGUGUGCAGAGACAUUAUUAGAUUAUUAAAUCAAUGACACUCAGGUUAUUAGUCACACUCAUCCGCAUUACCUGACACUGUAAUGAUGUUCUAUUUUUACUUCCAUCCUGCUAAUGUCCCAGAGGUACUGAAAUUAUGACCAGAAAAUUAAUUUCUAUACAUUUGAACAAGAAAUAGAAGUAUAGGGAAUAAUCCCAUAUUGACAGUAUAAAUCCUAAAGGAGUUGUUUAGAAAAGCAACGGGGAGAGGGAAAGGGCUGAGAAUGGUGCCUCACAUGCAGACUCCUCUCUGUGCUGCAAUGCCCGGCUCUUAAGGGUUUGCUGGCUGCUAAUAACUGGGCCAGGCUAUUUUAGCUUGUAACUCAUUUGGGGCAAUUAGGACUCCUGAGCUGGCAUUAAUGAUUUCACUCGUUCAGCCAAUACUUCCUUGCAGAAUCCCUCUGUUGUCUCAAUGGGCUUUCUUCAGAAGUGAAAUAAAACCCAGUAAACAGAAAAAGGCCAGCAUGUGGCAAGAUGUUGUUUAUAUUUUCAAAAAUUACUCAAGUGCAAGCAAAUUAUCAUCUCAGCCCCCAGACUGAGGUAAGAAGGGAGUUCCGAUCCGAUGGCACCUGAAGACUGCAUUUGGCGUUAUUUCUGCUCUGUGUGACUAACCAUCUGCAGGCGGGGAGGAAUCAAUCCGUCACUGUGGAAAAACACCACCAAAGCUGCCGAACGUCCAUCCCGCCCCUGUCUAACAGACCAGCACUGGCACCUCACCCCUUCAGCUGGGGAGACACAAAAAUUUGGCUUGAAGGGCCUGGCUCUGCCUUUUGAAAUCCCUGGGCAGGAGCUGCAUGGAGACCUGAGCUCAGGGAGGGUGGCUGGAAGGGGUGAGCUCAGCAGGGUACCCGAAGCACUCAGCCUGUGCAGCUCUCCAGUGUGUGCACAGAUCUUCUGGGGGAAAAUGGGGAGAAGCAUAUGGUGAAAGAUCCUGCAGGGAAAGCCAUUCGCAUCCUUCCCCACACCGCCCACGGCUCCCAUUACUUGCAAUUUCCCCGAGUUUAUUGAUUACCAGGAACAAAUCUACGUAUUGCUUGAUACUAACUUGGUUUUAAUGCAAGUCUUAAUGAUGCAUUUGUUUCAUAUUUGCAAUUAAUGUAGAAACAAGUGUUGGUGUUCACUGUGCCAAAAAAGGAGCAGAGUGACUUUCUGAGGUCUUCAGCUGGGGAAUUUCCACUUAAAAACAGAGAGAUGUGUGAGCAUAAGUGUGUGUACCUUGUUUGUACCUGGUAAAUGCAUGUGGCAGGGUGUUCUCAUGAGCAAAGCUCAUAGUAGAACUAUAAUGAGAUGAGUUGUUUAGGUGUAAUUAAAAGAUGUGGUGAGAACUUGCAUGGAAAUCCUUUUCUCUAGGCUUUGGGAUCCCUGCUAAUAAGACAUAAACAUUUAGCAGCUCAGCUGGAGUACAGUGUGCUCUUUGGUUAAACAUUAAAGGGGCAUUGUCAAGUGGCUUUAAUUAAUUAGCUAGGCUUUAAAUGAAAUCAAAUCAAUUUGGAGCAGUUAGGCUCAAAAUUAAAGUUGUUUUCACCUGGUAGGAAAUGUCCUUCAAAUUCUGAACAUCUUACAGACAAUGAGAAUUUAAAAUGCCUUUAAGAAAUUUCAUCCAUAUGUUUUCCUUUCCUUUUCCUAUUUGUGCAGAGAAUGGCCAGUAGUCUGAUGAUCUAAUGUUACCGUAAUUUUCAUAGUGACAGUACAUCGAAAUUAAGCCUUUCAGUCUGCAUACAUGGCAGUCAGCAUUUACGUGACAUCUUCUAGAUGUGCAGCAUCCAGACCCAUGUCAAGCCUGGAUAAUGGAGUCUUGAAUAUACGUUUUUCCCUUUUUAUUACAACUUCUCAUGGGGCAUUAUCGCCCUUGUUGUCACUGUUGACACUAACAAGUAAAUAGGAAAGUUGUGGAAGUAGGUUAGCUUGCACGUCAUUAAUGUAAUUUCUGAGCACAAGGGGGUGUAACUUAUGUUCAGCCUCCAUUAUCUCUGAGUUUUCUGCCCACUUCUGGCCAUGAGACAGAAGCUUCAAGAGUUAUAAAAUUCUUAGAGGUAUUGUGAAUGUCCACAGCUGGAGAGGGAAGGGAGACCAGCCCGAAUGAAGCCCUUCAGCCUGUGCUGAAGGAGAUGGUGCAAGACAAGAUCAGGGAUGGGGUUGAUGACUGCAAUUCUGUUCUCUGGUCGGUGGAGGAGAGGAUGCCUUCCCAGCCUCCAGGCAGGGGCUGCUUUCUAUUUUUCUUGCUCUUUUCUGAAAACAAAUGCUAUUCUUGAUAUUGACUUUUUAAAAGCAAAAGAAUUGAACAAAAUGAGAGUGUAGGCACUUCUUAUUAGGCCAGCACAAUACCAUAUAUUACCUUAGAUGCUUUGAGUUAGAUUUAGGGGGGAAAAAUCAACACAAACUCCCUGUGACACAAUAGACCAUAACUGCUGGAAGCCGUUAUGGGCUAUUAUGCGAAGCCGUUACAGUCUAUUGAGUAAAUAAUCUACAGAUUAAAGCUUUCUAAGUACACAGUAACUUGAUAGGUAACCAAAGAAGCCAUUACGGUAUGUCAUGUCAAUAAGAGGAGGAUUAAGGUCCCUUAUGUUUUGUACAGUGACAGGGUCUAUCUGCUG